GUGAGGAAUUUUCCGCAAUGGGCGAAAGCCUGACGGAGCAAUGCCGCGUGAAGGAUGAAGGCCUAUGGGUUGUAAACUUCUUUUCUUAGAGAAGAAUAUUGACGGUAUCUGAGGAAUAAGCAUCGACUAACUCUGUGCCAGCAGCCGCGGUAAGACAGAGGAUGCAAGCGUUAUCCGGAAUGAUUGGGCGUAAAGCGUCUGUAGGUGGCUUCAAAAGUCUCCUGUCAAAGAUCAGGGCUUAACCCUGGGCCGGCAGGAGAAACUCUGAGGCUAGAGUUUGGUAGGGGCAGAGGGAAUUCCCGGUGGAUCGGUGAAAUGCGUAGAGAUCGGGAGGAACACCAAAGGCGAAAGCACUCUGCUGGGCCACAACUGACACUGAGAGACGAAAGCGAGGGGAGCAAAAGGGAUUAGAUACCCGGGUAGUCC
rnacentral:rRNA from 1 species